rnacentral:miRNA from 1 species
GCUGACACAUCCCUGCCAAUCUCCGGCAGACCCUCCCUCCCAGACCCUCCCACCUCCUGGACAGCAUCCAUGUUGAAGCUGCCUUCAACAUGGAUGCUGUCUAGGAAGUAGGAGGGUCUCGGAGGGAGGGUCUGCCGGAGAUUGGCAGGGAUGGGUCAG